GCCGCUAUGGUGUAAGUGGUUAACACGCCACCCUCUCAAGGUGGUAAUACGGGUUCGAGUCCCGUUAGCGGUACCA
rnacentral:tRNA from 1 species